rnacentral:rRNA from 1 species
UACGUAGGGAGCGAGCGUUGUCCGGAUUUACUGGGUGUAAAGGGUGCGUAGGCGGGAUGGCAAGUCAGAUGUGAAAUACCGGGGCUUAACUCCGGGGCUGCAUUUGAAACUGUCGUUCUUGAGUGAAGUAGAGGCAGGCGGAAUUCCUAGUGUAGCGGUGAAAUGCGUAGAUAUUAGGAGGAACACCAGUGGCGAAGGCGGCCUGCUGGGCUUUAACUGACGCUGAGGCACGAAAGCAUGGGGAGCAA